AUUGAACGCUGGCGGAAUGCUUUACACAUGCAAGUCGAACGGCAGCACGGACUUCGGUCUGGUGGCGAGUGGCGAACGGGGGAGUAAUGUAUCGGAACGUGCCCAGACGUGGGGGAUAACGUAGGGAAAAUUACGCUAAUACCGCAUACGAUCUAUGGAUGAAAGCGGGGGAUCGCAAGACCUCGCGCGAUUGGAGCGGCCGAUAUCAGAUUAGGUAGUUGGUGGGGUAAAGGCCUACCAAGCCAACGAUCUGUAGCUGGUCUGAGAGGACGACCAGCCACACUGGAACUGAGACACGGUACAGACUCCUACGGGAGUCAGCAGUGGGGAAUUUUGGACAAGGGGCGAAAGCCUGAUCCAGCCAUUCCGCGUGCAGGAUGAAGGCCCUCGGGUUGUAAACUGCUUUUGUACAGAACGAAAAGGUUUCUACUAAUACUAGGAGCUCAUGACGGUACUGUAAGGAUAAGCACCGGCUAACUACGUGCCAGCCGCCGCGGUAA
rnacentral:rRNA from 1 species